rnacentral:rRNA from 1 species
UACGUAGGGUGCAAGCGUUGUCCGGAAUUAUUGGGCGUAAAGAGCUCGUAGGCGGUUUGUCGCGUCUGCUGUGAAAACUCAGGGCUUAACUCUGAGCUUGCAGUGGGUACGGGCAGACUAGAGUGCGGUAGGGGAGACUGGAAUUCCUGGUGUAGCGGUGAAAUGCGCAGAUAGUCAGGAGGAACACCGGUGGGCGAAGGCGGGUCUCUGGGCCGUAAGCUG